AGGCGGCACUGCGUGACUGCAUCAUCUCCUCCUCCUCAACGGCCUCCUCUGCCGACGGUAUGUUGUUGCUGGAGACUGGAGAUUUGUUCCUUUUGAUACUUGUUGUUGCCUAUGAUUUGUGAAAGCCAUGAUGCAAUUUAGUUAGAACUCAUAUGGCGUGCUUUUCUAUGAUGCAAUUUGGUUAGAAGUUCAGAGCACGGUGUUUAACUAUCGAUUGUAGCACUGUUGCCC
rnacentral:lncRNA from 1 species